rnacentral:rRNA from 1 species
CAAGAGCGUAUAUUAAAGUUGUUGCAGUUAAAACGCUCGUAGUCGGAUUUCGGGGCGGGCCGACCGGUCUGCCGUUGGGUAUGCACUGGCCGGCGCGUCCUUCCUUCCGGAGACCGUGCCUUCUCUUAACUGGGCGGGUUCGGGAGACGGAACGUUUACUUUGAAAAAUCAGAGUGUUUCAAGCAGGCAGCUCGCUCUUGCAUGGAUUAGCAUGGGAUAAUGAAAUAGGACUUUGGUUCUAUUUUGUUGGUUUCUAGGACUAAAGUAAUGAUUGAUAGGGAUAGUGGGGGUGCUAGUAUUCAGCGGCCAGAGGUGAAAUUCUUGGAUUCGCUGAAGACUAACUUAUGCGAAAGCAUUCACCAAGGAUGUCUUCUUUAAUCAAGAACGAAAGUUGGGGGAUCGAAGAUGAUCAGAUACC